UAUGAUAUACAAUAAAGUGUAUAACUAAUACAUAAAUUAAAAAAAUAACAAAAAAUUUUAUCACAAUAUACCAAACGACCUCUCAGUGCACAGCAACCUACGCCCCCCUCUCUCUCUUCUCCACCUUUCGCCACCACACCAAGAACCCUACUAUACCCCUACACCGACAAACCUGAACUACCCCUGCGCAACCCAUCUCCCCCUCCCCAAAAACCUGCCGACGACAGCGAAAUCAGUCACUAUUUUGGGUGGAAAAAUUCACAAUUGUCAUGAAUGGUCUUAAAAGGCAAAGGAUUCGUUUCAGAGCUUCUUUUCAAAUUUCAAAUCGAGUUUUUCUCGCGUUUUUUUGUUUAAUUUGAGUUUCGAAUCCGGACUUUCAAGUCCGAAUUCAUCUAUAAAUACCAUUGUUUGUUAUCCGUGGAAGGCAGAAGAAAGUGGGGGAAAACUCAAGAAAGGAUAAAAGAAAAGAAAAAAUCGCGAGAGCAAAUUCAUAAGAAAAGCAAGAAUCUGCGAAAAAAAGAGUGAGAAAGGUUUUCCAAGAAAAUUUCGUGAGAAAGCAAACAGGGUGGGAAAUUAGAAACCAGUCAAAAACUAGUGUUUUUCGGGAGCAAUAGAGGUCGAAACUCAGUGAGAAAGGGAAGAUAUCGAAGGAAAAAUUCGAAAAUCAAGAAAAACAAACUUUCUUCUCAAAUUUUGGUCGAGGUUUGGGUUUCGAGUUUGAGUUCAUCUCCGGAAUCUAUCCCGACGUCAACGCCCCAGUUUCGCUGCGCCGAAUAAGAUGGAUUCGCAAGGAUAAAAGCUAGUGCAACAAUUGAUGCAGAUACUUCUUAUGAGCUUUGCUGUGGUAGUAUUCCUCAUAGGCUAUGUGUUAGGCUCAUUCCAAACUAUGUUGUAAACGUACGCGGGUGGUGUUGUCUUUAUGGCCCUUGUAAUACCCAACUAGCCUGUGUUAAAUCACAAUCCUCUCAAUUGGUUGGACCCAAGUUUGGCUGAAAAGUAUCCCAAACCAGUGUCUUCUCACUCCAAUUCCAAGAUGAACACUAAGAAGUAGGUCAUUUGCUAACGUUACACUUGGUCUUUCUGUAGAAAAUUAUAAUGAUGUAUCAAUUAAAUAUAGCUGGUGGUUUUUUGAUA